AGUACGGUCGCAAGACCGAAACUCAAAGGAAUUGACGGGGGCCCGCACAAGCAGCGGAGCAUGUGGCUUAAUUCGACGCAACGCGAAGAACCUUACCAAGGCUUGACAUACACCGGAAAGCAUUAGAGAUAGUGCCCCCCUUGUGGUCGGUGUACAGGUGGUGCAUGGCUGUCGUCAGCUCGUGUCGUGAGAUGUUGGGUUAAGUCCCGCAACGAGCGCAACCCUUGUCCUGUGUUGCCAGCGUGCCCUUCGGGGUGACGGGGACUCACAGGAGACCGCCGGGGUCAACUCGGAGGAAGGUGGGGACGACGUCAAGUCAUCAUGCCCCUUAUGUCUUGGGCUGCACACGUGCUACAAUGGCAGGUACAAUGAGCUGCGAUACCGUGAGGUGGAGCGAAUCUCAAAAAGCCUGUCUCAGUUCGGAUUGGGGUCUGCAACUCGACCCCAUGAAGUCGGAGUUGCUAGUAAUCGCAGAUCAGCAUUGCUGCGGUGAAUACGUUCCCGGGCCUUGUACACACCGCCCGUCACGUCACGAAAGUCGGUAACACCCGAAGCCGGUGGCCCAACCCCUUGUGGGAGGGAGCUGUCGAAGGUGGGACUGGCGAUUGGGACG
rnacentral:rRNA from 1 species